AAUUUGGUUCUUUUAAGAACCAACAACAAAAAAUAAAAAAUUUAUG
rfam:Sus scrofa isolate TJ Tabasco breed Duroc chromosome 9, whole genome shotgun sequence.